CAGCAGCCGCGGUAAAACGUAGGUGGCAAGCGUUGUCCGGAAUUAUUGGGCAUAAAGGGCUCGCAGGCGGUUUCUUAAGUCUGAUGUGAAAGCCCCCGGCUCAACCGGGGAGGGUCAUUGGAAACUGGGAAACUUGAGUGCAGAAGAGGAGAGUGGAAUUCCACGUGUAGCGGUGAAAUGCGUAGAGAUGUGGAGGAACACCAGUGGCGAAGGCGACUCUCUGGUCUGUAACUGACGCUGAGGAGCGAAAGCGUGGGGAGCGAACAGGAUUAGAUACCCCCGUAGUCCCUGUCUCUUAUAC
rnacentral:rRNA from 1 species